UUGGGUCUUCCCAAUCCUAGAGGAUAUGAAAACGGAUGGAGGAUUUGACUAAUUUUGAGUGAUGUCGAAAGUCUGAUUAUUCAAUUCGCUUAUUUGAAAAUCCAACACCCUCUCUUCCACUUUCCACUACCCGGAGAAAGCAACCAACUCACCAUCCCAUCUCCCCAUCCUCCACACCAUUAUUUCCCUUCCCCAUAUGCAAUUUCCCAAAACCCACAUCAGAUAUAUUCUUA
rnacentral:lncRNA from 1 species